AGGGGGCGGCGGCUCUGGAGGCCAGAGCCGCUGAGCGCGAAGUGCCCGAGGGCCUCACCUCGCGGGGCCCCGCAGACCCGCGCCCGGGAGCGCGACUGCUGCUCCCUCCCUACACACUGCUGGCCCCGGCGGAGAGGCGGAUGGCCACGCGUUACCUUCCAUGGACAUGGGCUCCAGGAUGCCGAACUGCUUGAGGACGGCGAUGAACAGCAGCACCACCACGGCCAUGGCGCACAGCUCCAUGCCCUGGAUGCCCAUGGCGACCCGGGCUGCCUGGGGCCGGGGCGUGCCCCUCGCCCGCGCGUGCCUCGGGAGGCGCCGGGGCCAGUGCAGCCCGCCCGGCCUCUGGGGGAGGCCGCGGCUCACAUCCCCCGGCAGGCGGGGCUGCGGGUGUCGACGGGGCCGAGGCCCCGCGAAGGGCGGCGGCGGCGAACUGAGCAGGCCGGGAGGUUGGACGCGGUGCGGCGGCAGAGCCCAAGCGCAACUUUCCGAGUCAGCCGGCAAACUUCGAGGCGCGGCGGCGACGGCGCGGAGCGCAGCUCGGGCGGCCGGCGCGGGCCAGAGACGCCUCCAUGGCCGGCGUGGGCGCCGCGCCUCUUUCGCCCCCUCUCCAGCCCCGCGGGCGCGGGGACACGGGGGCGCGGCGACACGGGGGCGCGGCGGCUGCGGGGGUCCCGGGUGCUCCCGGCCGCCCCAGCCUCCAUCGCUCCCCGCGCGCUCAUUGGCCUAGGCAAGGCGACCACCCGGGGAGGCGUCCCCGCCGCGCCCCCCCCUCCCGCGCGAGCCCGGGAAGGGGCGGAGGGAGGUGGCCCCGCCCCUCACAGCCCAGCCCCCUGACCGAGCCUGGCGCACAGCCAUCGCCACCCGGCCAUCCCCCCCGGAGGCCGCGCGGUCGGUGGUUUUACCCAACUGCCCGUACAAGGUGGGGGCUGAGUGGCUGGGGAGGGGGGCCGGAGGCCGGAGAGGAAGGGAGCCGCAGCUUCGCUCUGUGCGGGGAGUCGGAGCUCCAGUCUCCUGGCGGAAGGGUGCAGAGCCUGGCCUCCGCCGCUCACCGCCCCGCGGGCCAGCGCAGAGCGGGCCUUCGGGGGAUCGGGGAAGCCCUCUCUCCCUGGGGUAUUUCCCACACCAUCAGCCCUCGGCUCGAGGUUGAACUUGGCCCUGGUCUGCCGCCCGUUGAAAAUAGAAAAUUCAGGAAACCGAGGGCUAGAGGACGGACUGGGGAAGACGCACAGGUGGAGCGCAGGCCUCCCGGAUUCUAGCAGAUGCUGACGCAGCCUAACGCACGGUUCCAGUGGAAACGGAGGAACCAGACAAGAGUGCCCUUGGAAUUCCACAUCCCAAAGAAACGCCUCUAGGACUCCUCCCCAAGGGUGUCCCAAGGCUCUUCAGAUGCAGCGCUUACAAAGCUGAACUACCAGAGUGGUCAUCUCAAGAUGGACAUCAGGGCCUGCUUUUCCCUUGCUUACAACCCCUAGUGGCUCUCUGACUCGACCCUGGUUAUGUUUGCCUGGAUUUGACGACAGCCGUCCAAUUUCCUUUGUGGAACGCCUUGCUCCUGCCAGCCUCAGGCCAGUGAUUUCGGAGAUUUGGGGAUAUAACUGGUCAAUCACCACCAAUUCCUCUUUUCCCACUGCACACCACCCCUCCACUGCCACAGGGAUUGGUUCAAGAAUGGGUACCAGCUGGGGGCCAAGACAACGACAGACCUCCAUGAGUGGCCCUGGGACAAGCAGGAAAGAGGCACUCUCUUUCACUAUGGUAGCUAAAUGGCCACCCUGCCACCAUGUGGGGACAGCAAGCUGGAGAAUGAGGUUAUUUCUUGAGAAAGCAAGACAAGUAAAUAGCCCAAGUCCAGUUGACAAUGUUAUAUGCCUUGACCCAGCUGUGCCUGAUGGCACCGCUAAACCCGUAUCUUUCAGUUACAGGAGCUAAUAAAUCCCCCUACUGUUGCUUAAGCCAGUGUGAGUUGGGUUGCUGUUCUUUGCAACCAAAAGGGUCUUGAUCAAUGUAACCCCCAUUGCUCGCAGAACAGAGACCAAAAUCCUUAACACGGCCCAUAAGGGCAGCUGACAUUUACUAAGCACUUACUACGUACCAAGCACUUCAACACCACUCAGCUUCUUCAUUUCUCGCAGCUCCCAAUAAGGUAGGGAUUUGAUAAGAGGAAGAGAUCGAAGCACGGAGUGGUUCAUUCUUUGCUUAAGGGCACACAGCAGAUAAUACAUAGCGUCAGGGUUUGAACCCAAACGAUCCAGCUCCACAGCCUCCGAUUUUAAUUCAAUCCUGCCAUGCCCCACUAGACCAGUGUGGUUGGGCCCUUCCUCCCCUUCCUGCUCACAUGACCCCAGCCAUGCUUGCAGCUACCUGAGUGGGCCCCACUCUCCCACCUCUACAUCUCUGGGCAUGCUCUUCCCUGAGCCAUCAAUGCUCUUCUUCCUCCUCCUCUUCCUUUUCACCCAGCUAAUUAGUGCCUACUUAUCCUUUGGUUCUCGGCUUAAGCAUCACUUCUGCCAAGUAGCUUCCUUGACCUGCUCCCCCUUAUUAGUCUCCACCACACCCCCCCAUCCUCUUCCCUCUUUAUAGUUCUCACUGUGUGAGUUUAGCUAUUUCUUUCUGUGUUCAUUUAUUUGUUUCUGUUCUCCCACUGGAUUGUAAACUUCCUGAAGGUAUAAGUAUUACCUGCCUCAACGAAUUUAUGAAAUAAUUAAUGGAAUAUCAGGUGAUGCUUUUCCUCCAACUAUUUUAGCAGAGGCUAUCCUGGUGUCACUAGCAGGAGCACUGGACUGGGAGUCCAAGAGAACCAGGGCCAAGUCCCUAGUUCCAACCCUAACCUGUCAGCAGAGUUGGCUAAGGCACACCACCGCUCUGAGCCUUCCUUUCCUUCUUUUAAAAUGUGGCCACUUGAUGACAUUUACCUGCCUGUCAGUAAGCUCUGAGAACCUGACAAGCUGAUGGAUGUGAAAACAUCCCAAGACAGGCAUGAUGGGCCCUGUUCCCGGAGAUGCUCCUUCCUCAGAGCCAGGACAACCUAGGAAGUGACACCAAAGGAGCCUACUUCUCUUUGCUUUAUGGUAUUGCCCAACUCUUCCAAUCAAACACACUCCCGGGGGCCACACAGAACCCAUCCACACAGUCUCUGCUCUGGCCCAACUUCAGAUGAAAUGUCGGAGGUUUGUGGCAAUAGGUAACAGAAAACCUCCAUUCCUUUAGCUUAACCCAUAAGGGACUGUACAGUGUCACACACAGAAGUCCAGCAGGAGGGUGGCACCAGGGACAAUCAGCUCAGAUCCAGUAGUAUCAUUAAGGACCUGGGCUCAUGUAUCUACCUACAUACACCUCCAGCCUCAAAUCAUCAACCUUACUCCUGCUCCCCUCAUGACCACAAGAUGGAUGCCUAAUUCCAGACAUCACAUCCUGACAUGACAAUGUCCUGGGAAAAAAGAAGGGACCAUCUCUUCCUAUGUUUCCUUUUUUAUAGUGAAGAAGACUUACCCAUUAACAACUGGGCUAAUUCUUCUCAUGAACAAUUCCUCAUGUUUCAUGGCUGGAAUUAUUUCACAUGCGAUGCCUAAAUCUGUUGUCAGUGAGAGGAAUGAGACCACCACUGCAGGAGAGUCUGCUAGCUCUCCACCAAAACUCAUUCUCCUCUCUUCUACAGCAAAAAAAGUACUAACUAGACACAUGUUUGCCCAGUGGUGACAGCAUUUCUCUGACCCCUUUGUAAUCAGGUGUGGCCAUGUGACUAAAUUUUUGCCGGUGGAAGUAAUGGGUGCUGCUUUGGGGAUGGAGGCCCUAAGUCAGUGAGUGAGUCUCUUACUCACUCUGUCUUCUCUUUUCCUACUGGCUAGAACCCAGACAUGUCGAUGACCAGCCUCAGCCAUGUAGAUCACGACAAGUCUGGAAGGGGAGGAGAGAGUGGAGCCAUAAGAUGGAAGGGACUUGGGUCCCUGAAUGACCGCAUGGAACAGAACUGCCCACCAGCCUGGAACACUCGCCAUGAGAUGUUAAGGGAGAAAGAAAUAAACUUAAAAAAACUCUCUUAAAGAAAGAGAGAAAUGAGUUGAGAGCUGGCUAUUUUGAAAAUAGAGGUAGAAGGGAAGAGGGAGACACCAUAUACUGAAGGCUUCACAAUGUUGGAAAAGCAAACACUUUUGGGCCAAACUAUAGAAAUAAGAUUGUUGCAAAAAGCAUUUUUCAAAAGUCCUUUGAGAUUUAUCAGCCAAACAAAGAUGGCCUCAAGUGAGACACAACAGGUACAACAAGGAAUCCAGGAAAUAAAGCAGCUAUGGGAGAACCAUAUUCAGAAAAGAACUUUGGUAGUGGUUCCUGAACACAAAACUGACUAGAAGGAAAUGGACCAGAAACUGACCAGGUGUUUGAGGGAAUUACAUUGUGGUAGAAGCCAGAAGUCCGGCUCCCAAAAGCCUGUGAGUAAUCGAGAUCUACAAUAACUCUGGGCCCUUCUAACUUGCACUAGCAGAAAACUUGGAAAGCUCUAUGGCCCUAAAGGAGGACACACUUCCCAACACCUAACUUGAAAUGUGGCUGAGAGGGAAAUGGGCAGAGAAUGGAAGGCAAGGCUGGGACCGUGGAGGACAGCAGGCAAGGUGCUGGACCCAAAGAACAGAAGUAAGGUAGGUAAUUAAGCUUUCUCAUUCCACUGCCAGGGUGGAUAGCCCGAGGAUCCUCACUAUCCAAAUCGACACAUAUCUGAAUUCAGAUAUGAAAGUUAUUGUAGUAAUGUCAGGUCAUGGGCAGUAUACUGUAUCAUCCAAAUCUAUCAGAUUCCUGAGUUUUAGAUAACAAGUAUGAGAAUUCGUGAACGAAAUGUAUUUCAGAAAAUUAUCUGAAUCUGUUCAGUUCUUCAGUUCAGAUAUGAAGAAGUUGGCAGAGCCACAAGGUGGAAGGCACCUGGGCCCUGUAUAUCUGCGUGGAGUAGAGCCAUUCACCAACCUGCACACCCACCUCAGGAUGGUCACAGGAGAGAGAAAUACACUUCUUUGUCCUUAGGCCAUUGAGUUUUGAGAGUCUCAUUGCUAU